AUUUUACGGAGAUGGAAACGAGGCUCAGAGAGGCUGACCCACAGCCACCUAAUGAGUGUUAGAAAUGUAAUGAGAAACCAUCCAGUUUUGAAUCUGUUGCCCCACAAGUGUCUACUAAGCACUCAACUGCAUGCCGGAGUCUGAGCUACGUCCAAGAGAUAUGGCAGUGAGGAAGAUGAGAAAAUUGAAACUCAGAGAGGGGACUUGUCUUGUCUGAGGUCACACAGCAAGGGAUUGGCUGAAGUGGGAUUGGAACCGAGGGCAGCCCCUGUGGCGCAGUGGUUUAGCGCCACCUGAAGCCCAGGGCAUGAUCCUGGAGUCCCUGGAUCGAGUCCCCUCUCUGCAUGGAGCCUGCUUCUCCCUCUGCCUGUG